rnacentral:rRNA from 1 species
ACGAACGCUGGCGGCGUGCUUCACACAUGCCAGUCGCACGGAAAGGCCCUGCUUUUGUGGGGUGCUCGAGUGGCGAUCGGGUGAGUAACACGUGAGUAACCUGCCCUUGACUUUGGGAUAACUUCAGGAAACUGGGGCUAAUACCGGAUAGGAGCUCCUGCUGCAUGGUGGGGGUUGGAAAGUUUCGGCGGUUGGGGAUGGACUCGCGGCUUAUCAGCUUGUUGGUGGGGUAGUGGCUUACCAAGGCUUUGACGGGUAGCCGGCCUGAGAGGGUGACCGGCCACAUUGGGACUGAGAUACGGCCCAGACUCCUACGGGAGGCAGCAGUGGGGAAUAUUGCACAAUGGGCGGAAGCCUGAUGCAGCAACGCCGCGUGCGGGAUGACGGCCUUCGGGUUGUAAACCGCUUUCGCCUGUGACGAAGCGUGAGUGACGGUAAUGGGUAAAGAAGCACCGGCUAACUACGUG